GGUUAAGCGACUAAGCGUACACGGUGGAUGCCCUGGCAGUCAGAGGCGAUGAAGGACGUGCUAAUCUGCGAUAAGCGCCGGUAAGGUGAUAUGAACCGUUAUAACCGGCGAUUUCCGAAUGGGGAAACCCAGUGUGAUUCGUCACACUAUCAUUACGUGAAUACAUAGCGUAAUGAAGCGAACCGGGGGAACUGAAACAUCUAAGUACCCCGAGGAAAAGAAAUCAACCGAGAUUCCCCCAGUAGCGGCGAGCGAACGGGGAGGAGCCCAGAGCCUGAAUCAGCAUGUGUGUUAGUGGAAGCGUCUGGAAAGGCGCGCGAUACAGGGUGACAGCCCCGUACACAAAAGCGCAUGUGCUGUGAGCUCGAUGAGUAGGGCGGGACACGUGGUAUCCUGUCUGAAUAUGGGGGGACCAUCCUCCAAGGCUAAAUACUCCUGACUGACCGAUAGUGAACCAGUACCGUGAGGGAAAGGCGAAAAGAACCCCGGCGAGGGGAGUGAAAAAGAACCUGAAACCGU
rnacentral:rRNA from 1 species